GUAUCAUCAGAGACAUUAGAUAAAAUUGGAAGGAUAUAGAGAAAAUGCCUGGCCCCUAUGCAAGGAAAUCGUGCACUAACUGGGAAAUGACCCAAAUCAUU